rnacentral:rRNA from 1 species
AACGAACGCUGGCGGCGCGCCUAAUACAUGCAAGUCGAGCGAGAAGACGUAGCAAUACGUUUGUAAAGCGGCGAACGGGUGAGGAAUACAUGGGUAACCUACCCUCGAGUGGGGAAGUAACUAGCCGAAGGUUAGCUAAUACCGCGUACGCUCCUUGGACUUCGGUUCAGGGAGGAAAGACGAUACCGUGGGUAUCGCGCUCUUGGAGGGGCGUCAUGUCCUAUCAGCUCGUUGGUGAGGUAACGGCUCACCAAGGCUUCGACGGGUAGCUGGUCUGAGAGGACGAUCAGCCACACUGGCACUGCGACACGGGCCAGACUCCUACGGGAGGCAGCAGUAAGGAAUAUUGCGCAAUGGGCGAAAGCCUGACGCAGCGACGCCGCGU